UACGUAGGGCGCAAGCGUUGUCCGGAAUCAUUGGGCGUAAAGAGCUCGUAGGCGGCCUGUUGCGUCCGCUGUGAAAUCCCGGGGCUUAACCCCGGGCGUGCAGUGGAUACGGGCUGGCUGGAGGCAGGCAGGGGAGAACGGAAUUCACGGUGUAGCGGUGAAAUGCGCAGAUAUCGGGAGGAAAACCGGUGGCGAAGGCGGUUCUCUGGGCCUGUACUGACGCUGAGGAGCGAAAGCGUGGGGAGCGAACAGG
rnacentral:rRNA from 1 species